AAUUUCCUUAUGAAUAGUAAAAUGUGGCGCUAUUACUUUGCUGCCCCUAAUUUUAUGGUUUGCCAUAUAUACCCUUUGCAUGUGAAAAUCUGUCCAGGCUUCUCUUGUUGUUUGACUACUAUAUUCCUGGUUUUUCUCAACACCACAAUUCUCAGUCUCUCUCCUCUGCUCUUCCUCAUUUUCGGGGGUUUUAUUUGCUAUAAAAUGUCUGCUGGUGCUCCUUUUCGUCCUUUCUUUUUCCUCGCUUUCCAUUGAAGGCUUGCUGCGUGCUCUGAGCUUAAUCUCCUCCAUUAAAGCAGCUUCUUCAGAUUUGCAGGAGGAAUUUGAGUUAGCUUCAUUCGAAAACAAGAAGAAAGAGAAUCAUUAAAUGGUAGUUUCCAGUGCCAGGGCUUUCUUCUUUAGACUUUUUGGCAGCAUGGGAAGGAGCUCGUAAUGUCUGAGCUUGUCUUGCGACUUCUUUAUAUAUCAAAUAAGGAAGAUUGACUUCCUAUGCUGGACCAAAGCUACAAGGUGGCUUCCUAUACUUGAUCAAAGCUUCAAGAAAAGUGUUCAGUUUUGGGAUAAAUUAUGUUGUUUUUGAUAGGUUACACCUCAUUCUGUUUUGCUCACAAGCAAAUUGAUAAUUUUGAUAUGUGGGAUAAAUGCUAUAUUUACUCUAUUGUUUUGGAAUGGGUUCGGUUCAAUCAUAUGAUCAAAUAGUUUAUAGGCUAUGUUAUCACUGUUAUGUAUUUGUUUAACAUAACAAUAAUUGUACUCAAUUUUGUUGUUGGGAAAUUCCCAGGUGAUUCUCUGAUAUUCAAAGCUCUCCACUUUAUCUUU